GGUCAGGGCUCGGUGUCCGGCGCAGGAGGGGAGGGCCGAGCAACAGCUGCCCGCUCCCGUCUGGCCGCGCGGACCCAGGGGAGGGCCGUGACGCUGGGCCGCCAUUUCCCUCGGAAAGAUGAUGAAUGGACGGACCCACUUGCAAAGCCCAUCUGUGCAGAUUACUUGGGAAAAGAGACCGUCUUCUCCGCUGUACAGGCCCGAGGAUGCGCUUACUUAACUCCCAUCAUCCAAAAGUGGAUGCCGGAGGCCAGGAGGCUCUAGCACGGUCCCGUCCAGAAGAGUGAUGUCAUUGGAAAGGUCAAGGGCAGAGACUGUGAGGCUGAGCAACACGGGGCUGGAGGAGGUUCUAGGGGCUGAGGUUCCGCGUGCCCCGUGGUCAGUGCAAUGCUCGUGUCCACAGUCAGCAGGCCCACAUACUGCUGCCUCCACCUGCACCUCCGGGCGAAUGAAUGGAUCUCUGGGCUCCUGAGCCCAAAAAUGGACCAAGCACCUGGCUCCUUUCCCGUGAGACCAGACAGAGGGACGCUGGAAAGGACCUAGAGCUGUCCUCAAGGCGCGAAGAAGUGAUUCAUCGCCUUACCUCACCUCUGACUAAUCAGCUCCCAGCACGACCGGAACCCCUGACCCACACGCGCCGGGCGAUUUGAUUUUCAUGACCAACAUGAAAACGCACUGACGGGAACGCAGGAGUCUCGGGGACACACGGGAAGCAAACACACGUGGUCCGGCUUUUCCUCCUUUCGUCCACCACAGAGAACACCAAGUACCCCAUUGCCACAGAAUGAAG